GUCAGCAUGGCCACAUGUCUGUCUUGUUUCCAACACCAACUGGUCGAUCUGUACUCAACGACAGCACUUUUUAAUUUAAUGCUCCCAUUGAGACAAUUUUUUGAGGCUCCAUGUAAAAGUUAUCACACAGCCGUAAUUAAUCCACAGCAGCCCCGGAAAUGUGUGUGAGGGUCAGGCUUACAGUUUCUGUUUGAGCUUCAAUUUCAUUAGGAGAAAGCAAACUGGUGCUUCUAAGCUACUACUUGAGCCUGGCACGAAGGAGACAGCAUCCUGUGCCAUUACCACAGCAAGUGAGGAGGAAGCAGUGAAGGAGAGACAGAGGUGGAGUCAUGCAGAUCUGCUCUCCCAGGGUUAUGACUCACACUUCAGUUUCUGGUUUACCACUCACAACCCAAGCUGGUCUAUAAUUGAACUGGAAGAUCAUGGAUUUGGCUAAGGUGACUGGCCAUCGAGAUUUAAAGCUUACUCUUCCCACAAAACAAAACAAACCCAAAAGGCAAAAGCCCUGGUAUUGCGGGCAUAAGCCGGUGUGUCCAUCCGAGACCUGAUCUGGCGCCCUUGUGUCUGCACAUCAGCACCUCACUGCCUGACCCAUCACCCAGCCCCUUCACACAGGCCUUCAAUUACUCACUAAGAAA
ensembl:antisense Gm16213 predicted gene 16213